GCUGGCGGCGCGCUUAACACAUGCAAGUCGAACGAGAAAGUGGAGCAAUCCAUGAGUACAGUGGCGUACGGGUGAGUAACACGUGGGUAAUCUACCUUUUAGUGUGGAAUAACCCUGGGAAACCGGGGCUAAUACCGCAUAAGCUCGAGAGAGGAAAGUCGCAAGACGCUGAAAGAGGAGCCCGCGGCCGAUUAGCUAGUUGGCAGGGUAAGAGCCUACCAAGGCAGAGAUCGGUAGCCGGCCUGAGAGGGCACACGGCCACACUGGCACUGAAACACGGGCCAGACUCCUACGGGAGGCAGCAGUGGGGAAUCUUGCACAAUGGGGGAAACCCUGAUGCAGCGACGCCGCGUGAGCGAUGAAGCCCUUCGGGGUGUAAAGCUCUUUCGGCAGGGAAGAUGAUGACGGUACCUGCAGAAGCAGCUGCGGCUAACUACGUGCCAGCAGCCGCGGUAAUACGUAGGCAGCGAGCGUUGUUCGGAGUUACUGGGCGUAAAGGGUGUG
rnacentral:rRNA from 1 species